rnacentral:lncRNA from 1 species
AGGUGAGUCCAGCUGAAGCUUGGGAAGGCAGAGGCUGCCAGCACUGCUCCAGAAUCUCUGUUUUGUGUCCCCUCUUAAAGGAUGUGACCACACAGUCUGUUAUGGGGUUUGACCCUCUGCCUCCCGUGGACACCAUCUACUCCUACGUCAGACCGGAGAGGUACUGUCCCUGCUUUGUCUUCAGACCCACACGAGCCCACUUUGGUACUUUGGGGCUCACUGGAACUGCCCGUCCAGACUAGAAGGAAAAUGGCAAACACAGGCUAAAGUUGGGCCAGUCCACUCAGGAGUAGGAGAAACAGUGUAUCAGACCUGACUUCCCCCAAAGGUCUGAGCACUCCCCUGUAGGUUUUGUAGCAAGUAGAGAAGGCAGAAUAAG